rnacentral:miRNA from 2 species
UUUGGCAAUUGAUAGAAUUCACACU